AUUGAACGCUGGCGGCAGGCCUAACACAUGCAAGUCGAGCGGAUGAAGGGAGCUUGCUCCUGGAUUCAGCGGCGGACGGGUGAGUAAUGCCUAGGAAUCUGCCUGGUAGUGGGGGAUAACGUCCGGAAACGGGCGCUAAUACCGCAUACGUCCUGAGGGAGAAAGUGGGGGAUCUUCGGACCUCACGCUAUCAGAUGAGCCUAGGUCGGAUUAGCUAGUUGGUGGGGUAAAGGCCUACCAAGGCGACGAUCCGUAACUGGUCUGAGAGGAUGAUCAGUCACACUGGAACUGAGACACGGUCCAGACUCCUACGGGAGGGAGCAGUGGGGAAUAGUGGACAAUGGGCGAAAGCCUGAUCCAGCCAUGGCGCGUGUGUGAAGAAGGUCUUCGGAUUGUAAAGCACUUUAAGGUGGGAGGAAGGGCAGUAAGUUAAUACCUUGCUGUUUUGACGUUACCAACAGAAUAAGCACCGGCUAACUUCGUG
rnacentral:rRNA from 1 species